rnacentral:lncRNA from 1 species
GGGAUGACCAGUCAUGAUUCCAGAGUACCUAUGAUGAGGUAGCAUAGCUCCUAACAGAGAGGCAAUGGACUCUCAAGAGGCAGAAUGAGACAUAUUUUUGUCCAUGACCAAUAAAGGGAUUAUUUUUUUUUUGCUUUACUUUGCAUAUUUCUUACAAGGGCAUUGUUUUCUUUUGCUUUUUUUAAUUGGGGGGAGAAGUGGUAUGUAGGUGGAAAGGAGACAAGUGCUAGAAAUAGAAUUCACCUUCACCACAAAUGAGAAGAGAACAGAAGGAAGGCCAGAAGGAAUCGCAGACAAGCAGGACGGCAUUGAAAUUUACAUGUUGAAUUUAUUACAUACUUAAAAAGAAAAGCAAGCUCUUCAUAAUAAAGAUUCACAGUUUCAUAUACAAUCCUCUCCUUCUGUUCUACAACCUAUACUGAAAUGCUCAUUUUAACUGGUGUUUGUUACAUUUUAAUUUUUUAAAAGGGAAAAGUACUUAAAUAUGCCAGUGACUAUACUAGGCCCUAGGGAUACAAAUUCAAAAGUAAUACAAUUACUAACUUCAGGGAGCUUAUAUUCUACCUGUUUGAUAUAACAUAGUCACAGGUAACUAAAUAUAGGACAUAUAGAGAAGAAAUACAUAUGUGUGACCCUGGCAAGUCACAACCCCCAUUGCCCAGCCCUUACCACUCUUCUGCCUUAGAACCAAAAAACAAGCAAGGUUUUAAAGAAGUAAGGUAAGGAAAAGGAAGGAUGGAAGGAAGAAAGGAAGGAUGGAAGGAAGGAAGGAAAGAAGGAAGGAAGGAAGGAAGGAAGGAAGGAAGGAAGGAAGGAAGGAAGGAAGGAAGGAAGGAAGGAAGGAAGGAAGGGAGGGAGGGAGGGAGGGAGGGAGGGAUAGAAGGAGGGAGGAGGCAGGGAAGAAUGAUGGAUGUAGGUAGUGAAGGACGGAGGCAGGGAAGAAGGACGGAUGCAUGGAGGGAGGAAGGGAGGGAGGGAGGAAGGGAGGUAGCAAUGGAAUGGAGAGAGAGAGGGAGGAAGGGGAAGAGAGAGAGAGAGAGAGAGAGAGAGAGAGAGAGAGAGAGAGAGAGAGAGAGAGAGAGAGAGAGAGAGAGAGAGAGAGAGAGAGAGAGAGAGGGAGGGAGAGAGAGAAGAGUACCUAUAAAAUCUACUUCCUU